GUGCUCACUUUGGCAGCAUGUAAACUAAAAUUGGAACAAUGCAGACAAAGUUAGCGUGGUCCCUUUAAAAGGAUGACAUGCAACUUCAUGAAACAUUCCAUAUUUUU
ensembl:snRNA U6 U6 spliceosomal RNA